rnacentral:rRNA from 1 species
AGCCUAGAGAAAAUUAUUCUAGGUGAAGCCUGCCCGGUGAUUUAAUUUAACGGCCGCGGUACUUGACCGUGCUAAGGUAGCGUAAUCAGUUGACUUUUAAAUGAAGUCUUGUAUGAAUGGAUUUAUGGGAUUAAGCUGUCUCUUCUGUACUUUAUUGAAAUUACUAACUAGGUGAAAAGGCCUAGGAAUGAAAAAGGACGAGAAGACCCUUAGAGUUUUUAUAACGAUUUUUGUUGGGGCGACAAGAAGACAUCUAUAACUCUUCUAUUAUAAAACUUAUCUUGCCGGGUUUUCCAAGUAUGGAUAAACUACCUGAGGGAUAACAGCAUAAUCCAUUAAUGGGUUUGUGACCUCGAUGUUGGACUAGGAAACUUACAUCCUAGCAGGAUGUAUAGUUAGGUUCUGUUCGAACUUUUUCUCCU